rnacentral:rRNA from 1 species
UACGUAGGCAGCAAGCGUUGUUCGGAGUUACUGGGCGUAAAGGGUGUGUAGGCGGUUCCUUAAGUUUGCUGUGAAAUCUCCCGGCUUAACCGGGAGGGUGCGGUGAAUACUGAGGGACUAGAGUACGGGAGAGGAAAGUGGAAUUCCUGGUGUAGCGGUGAAAUGCGUAGAUAUCAGGAGGAACAUCGGUGGCGAAGGCGGCUUCCUGGACACUUACUGACGCUGAGACGCGAAAGCGUGGGGAGCAAACAGG